rnacentral:rRNA from 1 species
AUUGAACGCUGGCGGCAGGCCUAACACAUGCCAGUCGAGCGGAUGAAGGGAGCUUGCUCCUGGAUUCAGCGGAGGACGGGUGAGUAAUGCCUAGGAAUCUGCCUGGUAGUGGGGGAUAACGUCCGGACACGGGCGCUAAUACCGCAUACGUCCUGAGGGAGAAAGUGGGGGAUCUUCGGACCUCACGCUAUCAGAUGAGCCUAGGUCGGAUUAGCUAGUUGGUGGGGUAAAGGCCUACCAAGGCGACGAUCCGUAACUGGUCUGAGAGGAUGAUCAGUCACACUGGAACUGAGACACGGUCCAGACUCCUACGGGAGGCAGCAGUGGGGAAUAUUGGACAAUGGGCGAAAGCCUGAUCCAGCCAUGCCGCGUGUGUGAAGAAGGUCUUCGGAUUGUAAAGCACUUUAAGUUGGGAGGAAGGGCAGUAAGUUAAUACCUUGCUGUUUUGACGUUACCAACAGAAUAAGCACCGGCUAACUUCGUG